AACGAACGCUGGCGGCAGGCCUAACACAUGCAAGUCGAACGCCCUAGCAAUAGGGAGUGGCAGACGGGUGAGUAACACGUGGGAACGUGCCUUUCGGUUCGGAAUAACCCAGGGAAACUUGGACUAAUACCGGAUACGUGCGAGAGCAGAAAGAUUUAUCGCCGAAAGAUCGGCCCGCGUCCGAUUAGCUAGUUGGUGAGGUAACGGCUCACCAAGGCGACGAUCGGUAGCUGGUCNGAGAGGAU
rnacentral:rRNA from 1 species